GUGGGGAAUAUUGGGCAAUGGGCGAAAGCCUGACCCAGCAACGCCGCGUGAAGGAAGAAGGUCUUCGGAUCGUAAACUUCUAUCCUUGGUGAAGAUAAUGACGGUAGCCGAGAAGGAAGCCCCGGCUAACUACGUGCCAGCAGCCGCGGUAAUACGUAGGGGGCAAGCGUUGUCCGGAAUGAUUGGGCGUAAAGGGCGCGUAGGCGGCCUGGUAAGUCUGGAGUGAAAGUCCUGCUUUUAAGGUGGGAAUUGCUUUGGAUACUGUCGGGCUUGAGUGCAGGAGAGGUAAGUGGAAUUCCCGGUGUAGCGGUGAAAUGCGUAGAGAUCGGGAGGAACACCAGUGGCGAAGGCGACUUACUGGACUGUAACUGACGCUGAGGCGCGAAAGCUAGGGGAGCGAACGGGAUUAGAAACCCUGGUAGUCC
rnacentral:rRNA from 1 species